rnacentral:misc_RNA from 1 species
AACUUUCGGCAACGGAUCACUUGGUUCUGGCGUCGAUUAAGAACGCAGCGAAAUGCGAUAAGUAAUGUGAAUUGCAGAAUUCAGUGAAUCAUCGAAUCUUUGAACGCACAUUGCGCCCUCUGGUAUUCCGGAGGGCAUGCCUGUUCGAGCGUCAUUAUGACCAAAUCACCCCCCGUGGUGGACUUGGAGCCGGCCUGACUGGCCUCUCUUAAAAUCAGUGGCGGUGCUCUUAAGCUCUACGCGUAGUAAUUUUCUCGCGACAGGGUCUUAGGUGUACUUGCCAACAACCCCAACUAUUAUAAGGUUGACCUCGAAUCAGGUAGGGAUACCCGCUGAACUUAAGCAUAUCAAUAAGCGGAGGCU